rnacentral:rRNA from 1 species
GGCAGCUACACAUGCAGUCGAGGGGUAUAGUUCUUCGGAACUAGAGACCGGCGCACGGGUGCGUAACGCGUAUGCAAUCUACCUUUUACAGAGGGAUAGCCCAGAGAAAUUUGGAUUAAUACCUCAUAGUAUUAUAGAAUGGCAUCAUUUUAUAAUUAAAGUCACAACGGUAAAAGAUGAGCAUGCGUCCCAUUAGCUAGUUGGUAAGGUAACGGCUUACCAAGGCUACGAUGGGUAGGGGUCCUGAGAGGGAGAUCCCCCACACUGGUACUGAGACACGGACCAGACUCCUACGGGAGGCAGCAGUGAGGAAUAUUGGACAAUGGGCGCAAGCCUGAUCCAGCCAUGCCGCGUGCAGGAUGACGGUCCUAUGGAUUGUAAACUGCUUUUAUACGAGAAGAAACACUCCGACGUGUCGGAGCUUGACGGUAUCGUAAGAAUAAGGAUCGGCUAACUCCGUGCCAGCAGCCGCGGUAAUACGGAGGAUCCAAGCGUUAUCCGGAAUCAUUGGGUUUAAAGGGUCCGUAGGCGGUUUAAUAAGUCAGUGGUGAAAGCCCAUCGCUCAACGGUGGAACGGCCAUUGAUACUGUUAGACUUGAAUUAUUAGGAAGUAACUAGAAUAUGUAGUGUAGCGGUGAAAUGCUUAGAGAUUACAUGGAAUACCAAUUGCGAAGGCAGGUUACUACUAAUGGAUUGACGCUGAUGGACGAAAGCGUGGUAGCGAACAGGAUUAGAUACCCUGGUAGUCCACGCCGUAAACGAUGGAUACUAGCUGUUGGAAGCAAUUUCAGUGGCUAAGCGAAAGUGAUAAGUAUCCCACCUGGGGAGUACGUCGCAAGAAUGAAACUCAAAGGAAUUGACGGGGCCGCACAAGCGGUGGAGCAUGUGGUUUAAUUCGAUGAUACGCGAGGAACUUACCAAGGCUAAAUGUAGAUUGACGGUUGGAAACAGAUCUUCGCAAGACAUUUACAGGUGCUGCAUUGUCGUCAGCUCGUGC